CAGCAGUCAAGAAUAUUAGUCAAUGGCCUAACGGCUGAACUGGCAACUUGGAGAAGUGGCAAGUCUUCCAGUAUGGGGAGCAAAACAGCUAUGGGUCAAGUCCGAUAUCUUUAGGAGAAGUCUUAUUGUGAGGGCGAGUUAUAUAACACCAUAGGACUGGCCGUCCCAUAUGAAAAGAUUAUAUUAGAAUUGAAUGAAGCUUUGUUUAUAUAUUGAUAAUGACAGUAUAUAUAUCGUGUCUUGACUAAUUGCGUGCCAGCAGUCGCGGUAAUACGUAAGAGACUAGUGUUAUUCAUCUUAAUUAGGUUUAAAGGGUACCCAGACGGUCAAUAUAGCUUAUAAAAUGUUAGUACUUGACUAGAGUUUUAUGUAAGAGGGCAGUACUUGAGGAGGAGAGAUGAAAUUUCGUGAUACCAAAGGGACUCUGUAAAGGCGAAGGCAGCCCUCUAUGUAAAAACUGACGUUGAAGGACGAAGGCACAGAGAACAAACAGGAUUAGAUACCCAAGUAGUCUUUGCAGUAAAUGAUGAAUGCCAUAGGUUAGAUUGGUCAAUUAUAGUCUAGGGUUAGUCUAGCAAACUAAUGCCCUAUGCUAUAAUUCCAAAUAUCUGGUCUAUAAAUGAAAGUGUAAGCAUUUCACCUCAAGAGUAAUGUGGCAACGCAGGAACUGAAAUCACUAGACCGUUUCUGACACCAGUAGUGAAGUAUGUUAUUUAAUUCGAUAAUCCGC
rnacentral:rRNA from 1 species